UAAUGGUAAUGGUGGCAACUGUUACACGUUAUGGGGUUGUAUUGGUCAUAAUGGCCGUUAUGGAAAAAUGACUCAUAACAUCCCCAUAAUGGUCUAUUAUGAGGACGAUAUAGGUUCUUUUUUCUAUAACAAAAAAAGCUUGUAAUGGACAUUAUGGCCUGUAUCAUAACAGUGAUGGUGGUGGCCGUUAUGGCCACUGAUAUCGUUAUGAUACACCAUGGUGUGAACAUGAAUUGUUUCUUACUGACUAUCUUUUCUUGACUUGCAUUAGAAUAGAAUAAUUGUAACACCUUGGCUCUUCAAUACUCGGGUAUCGUAUGUUCUCAGGUGUUAUCUGGCAAAUCUUUUGAUUUAGCAUAGUGUCCGCACGUGCAUGCGGACGCGCGAGUCCAUGGAGUAGAGGAAUUUGGCAUAACUCUAAACCUAGGAGCUCGAACUUAAGCAAAGUUCAUGCGUAGCUCGCCAAUGGUAUAUGACUAGUCAUGGGACCCGGAUUCCCGGAUCCCCAAUCCAUUAGACUCGGGUGACCAAUUAGGAAGAGCCUACCAAAGGAGCACAUCAAAUUGAAUAUUUAAAUCGGGGAUUGAUGAAUGCGAUAACUUCGAUCGGUCCCCAACACUCGGACAAUUGAGCCCUCCCCCAAUCUCACCAAAGACUAGAAUUCCCAAGCCCGGGCCGAUUCAGGACAAACCGGAUCCUGUCAGAUCAACUAACUUGAGAAGCCCAAAAGCAGGACAGAUUUGGUAGUAAAUAUGUAAAAUACUGACAUUUAGCAUAUUGAAUAUAAUAUAAUAUAGGAAAACAAACAAGUAGAACUGAAUAGGAUGUGGUUAAGGGAGGUCAAGUGGCCAGUCAUUUGAUUAUUUUUUUUAAAUGAUCGUUUUUCAAGGCGAAUGACUCAAUUUGAGUCACCAUGAGUCUCGUUGAGUCAUUUGAGUCAGCAGAUUGACUCAAUGAGUCUCUCUGAGUUGGAACCAAGCCACAUCUAGAACUGAGUUCCUGUCGACCCGUUCAAUAUCUUGCCAAGUCAAGUUGACUUGGCCAAGUUUCAAUUGAAGUUUGUGAGUUUUAGAACUAUGCUUCAAAAUGUGGAUGCUAUUUGUCAAUUAGGUUUGUUUUGUGAAAAAAAAAAUGUUCAUGCUAUAGUACGAGUGUGAUGGUUCUUAUGCAUGUAUUACUCAAAUCAAACUAUCCAAAUUGUAGGCCCCACUUUUGAUGGGUGAUAAACCAAAAACUAUACAUAACUGACCUCCUAAUUGGCUGGUUGGUGGACAUCUAAUGCACAAUUAAAUUGAAAAAGUUCAUCAAUUUGGCAUGUGGACCUUGAUCAACAUCAAUUCAAAUACAUGCAUGGUUUUUAUUGUUUGCUAACAGAGUGUUCAUGCUUGGCCGACAUCAUUAUCCUUUCUUCUUCACAAUUUGUUAAAUUUUUCAGCCAUAGUGAUGCAUGAAAGAUGAAUAAUAAUUUAAGAUAUCUAUAUAAUACUUGACUUUAUGAGAGGAGGGCUCUUUUUGAGCAAUAUCUGACUUUGGUUCUGAUGGUACAUGUCUACUGAAGGAUAUCCACCAUGAUACCAUGAUUUUAUCCUUUGUCGAGCCCUCUGCGCCAUGCACUGUCUUGCAUCCCAACUGAUUUAAUGUUAUUUAUUUUGCAAGGUAGCUUGAAUUUUGUUGAAGAAACUACCAAGCUAUAAACUGGGCAUGCAGCUUAGGGGAGGGGAAAGGAGGAGAUGAUCAGGAGGGACCCCUGAACUAGCGUGGAUCGACAAGACAGUCCAUGGAUGUCAAUGGGCUGCAUCACUCUUCCAUUGAGCUUUCCUCUCCUUCCAUUCAUUACAAUAAAGGCAACAUGAACAAUGCGAAAGCUUCAUUAACUCCUUGGCCAGUCAUUAUUUACAAAAUAUCAAAAGUUGAUGGUACGAGGAAUUCUAAGUGGACUUGCUCGUGUGUGGUAGAUAUGGGUUGUUUGUAGCACACAUGCCAAUUUAGGAUGUGUUAUAGACAUGGGCAUUCAUCUGGGGUUUCUGUAUCAAGCUGGGCUAGCCUUACAUCGGAGAGCGAGAGGGGAAACAUUCGUGGACCUUGGCAGAGAACAUUUUCCUGUAAACUGAAAAAUAGCAAGAAGUUUAUCACUCCUUUGUUAUAUUUAUGCCGGGAAAAAAAAAGGACGAGGUUCCCCUGUUUUCAGUGCAAGAAGCGCACU